ACGUCUCCUCUGUCCUCCCCCUCACUAGGAACUACCAGAGGACAUCCGUGCAAACCUGACGGAGGAGCUGCCUCAGCCCAGAGAAAUCCCCAGGAAACUCAGCGAGUACACGCAGGAGGAGAUAGACGCCUUCCCCAGGCUGUGGACACCACCUGAAGACUACAAGAUGAAAUGAAACCGAGGCUGCCGACCCGACGUGACCAAAGCUGAAAAGGGUUUUUCACAUCAACGCUACAUUGAAAGCAACAGACCCCUUGGUUAUGUUAUAAUACCUGACAGAUAUUGUAAAAAUUGGAGUAUUUGAUGUGGAGAUGUUGUUCUGUUUUUAAAACACACAAAUUUUUUUUGUUCAGAUUAAACAUUACAAAACAGUCACAUUUUGUGCAAAUUCAGGAAACCACACUGGCAUCAAGGCUCUACUGGACUUUACUAAAGCACUACUAAGUCGUAACUUGUGUGCCAACAUCAUCAACACAAACUCUGUGCCGCCUGACAGCAGACCUGAAUCAUCCAGUAACAGCUUGAGAUUUUACCAUGUGGUUCAGCUCUGAUCAGAGAAAAUCAGAUUCUGUAGGUUUCCCUCUGAUUAUACAACCAUGAAAUGAUCAGAUCUGGCCCAUAAAAAAUGACAUCUGUUAGUGCUGAUCCUGCCUUUGAAGGUUUGUGGGUUCCAGUGAAACCAGUUAAUGAGUUACUAUGACAACGUUCAGGCCAUCCAUGUGGUUUCAGUAGAAAUGCUGAACUUUUUGUCUGGUCAGAAAUUUUAAUGGUGUUGUUAAAGUAUAAAGCAGCAGUGUUUAUGUGAGUUGUAAAAUAGGCUAAUAAACAAUUUAAUAAACCUGUUCUCAUCAA